rnacentral:rRNA from 1 species
AUUGAACGCUGGCGGCAUGCCUUACACAUGCAAGUCGAACGGCAGCACGGGUGCUUGCACCUGGUGGCGAGUGGCGAACGGGUGAGUAAUACAUCGGAACAUGUCCUGUAGUGGGGGAUAGCCCGGCGAAAGCCGGAUUAAUACCGCAUACGAUCUACGGAUGACAGCGGGGGACCUUCGGGCCUCGCGCUAUAGGGUUGGCCGAUGGCUGAUUAGCUAGUUGGUGGGGUAAAGGCCUACCAAGGCGACGAUCAGUAGCUGGUCUGAGAGGACGACCAGCCACACUGGGACGGAGACACGGCCCAGACUCCUACGGGAGGCAGCAGUGGGGAAUUUUGGACAAGGGGCGGAAGCCUGAUCCAGCAAUGCCGCGGGUGGGAAGAAGGCCGUCGGGUUGUAAAGCACUUUUGUCCGGAAAGAAAUCCUUGGCCCUAAUACGGUCGGGGGGAUGACGGUACCGGAAGAAUAAGCACCGGCUAACUACGUG